CAAAAUGUAACUUAAUAAAAGCUUUCCGUUUACACCGGAACCAUGUCCGUGCAACCCAGACCAUUUUGA
rnacentral:tRNA from 1 species